AUUUCAGCUAAUAUUACAAAGUUAUUGAACAUUGACAAAACAAACUUUGUCCCCCCCCCAGUUCAAUGUUGUGAACAACGCCGAAACAACUUUUGGUAAUAUACCAUGAUACAAGCUCAACAUUGAGUUGGGGGAGCGUGGGUUUAAGAAUGGCAACAUGAUUCAACAUGGAGUUAUCAUAAAAAUACGCGAAUUUUCCAUAGGGAGGAAAUAGUCUCAACCAGUUAGGUCCAAGAUUGUAGUGCUUGUAGUGAAGUAUAUUAUUUUUAAUAGCAGAAAUAUCUGUACUGAGUGUAAUCUGUUAU